GUCCAUAUCUCAGAUACUAUAAGCAAUAGGGCUAGUAUAUUCGGUGUAUGGAAGGACUGUAAGGUGUACAUGUCAGGUGUCAUCUGACCUUGCCCUCAUUUUCAUGGUUCAGUAGUUAUAGUUAAAUUGUUGUGUUUUGGUCUGUUUUGAUCAUACUAUAUGCAAUAGGUCUACUAUAUUUGUUGUAUGGAAUGAUUGUAAGGUGUACAUGUCUAGCGGGCAGAUGUCAUGUGACCUUGACCUCAUUUUUAUGGUUCAGUGGUCAAAGUUAAGUUUUUGAGUUUUGGUCUUUUUAUCUAAUACUAUAUGCCAUAGGUCAACUAUAUUUAAUGUAUGGAUAUAUUUUAUGAUCUUUAUGUCAGUCGCGCAGGUUUUAUUUGACCCUGACCUCAUUUUCACGGUUUAUUGCACAGUGUUAAGUUUUUGUGUUUUGGUCUAUUUUUCUUAAAGUAUAAGUAAUAGGUCAACUAUAUAUGUUGUGUAAAAGCAUUGUUAGCUGUACAUGUCUGCCUGGCAUGGUUCAUCUGACCUUUGACCUCAUUUCAAGGUUCAUUGGUCUUUGUUUAGUUAUCUUGGUUAAUGUUAAGUUUAUGUGACAGUUGUUAUAAAGCUUAGCUUUAUACUUAGGACUAUCAACAUAAUAUCAAUGAUUAGUAUAGAAGGCAAGACAUUUCAGCAUGUUCACUCUUGUAUAUUUUUGAUAGUAUGGAAGGUUACAAUUAACAGAAUUGAUAAACUGGAUAGGAAAUAGUGCCAUAAAUUAAUGAUAUAAAAAUGGUUUCAGUAUGUUAUUUAUGAAAACAUCUAACAAUAAAAUUUUAUUCAUAGUCUUUUCUAAAGUUGUCAUAAAUUUAUAAUGUCCCUUCGUCUUAAAAUGACAUAAAAAUGUGCAGACUGAAAUUACAAGAUAAUAUAAAACUUGAUUGAAAGGAUCAGGAACAUUUUGGUUUCAGUAACUGAUUUUUUUAACAUUAUUUUUGUUGCCUUUUUUGGGUGUCAAGGUUUCCCCAUUAUUCAAUUUUGAAAUAAUUUUGUUUAUGUAAUUGUAAUGGGAGCCGACAUUUUAUUCAUGCUUUUAAAAAAGAUGUACAUUAUGUUUACUUAAAUAUUUUCUUAAAUGAGCUUAGACGGGUAUUAUUUUUUAUGAUAGAUCUUAUAUUUGCUUCUUUGUAGUUUACUAAUGAAGAUUUAAGUUUUGUUGGCAUUCAUUUAACAGUUAAGUUUGUGGCAGCUAUUUAUAUUGAGAAAAAAAAAUCUUUUUUUCAACCAAAUGAUUUCCUUGUUACAGUAUAGGCCAUUCUGACUGGCAGUUGCUAGUGUAAUUUUCACAGUGAUUGUUUAAAUGGUACAUUGUAUUUAUUAGUAUUUUACAGAGACC
rnacentral:lncRNA from 1 species